rnacentral:rRNA from 1 species
CACGUAGGGUGCGAGCGUUGUCCGGAAUUAUUGGCGUAAAGAGCUCGUAGGCGGUGUGUCGCGUCGGCCGUGAAAACCUGCAGCUUAACUGUGGCUUGCGGUCGAUACGGCAUCACUGGAGUUCGGCAGGGAGACUGGAAUUCCUGGUGUAGCGGUGAAAUGCGCAGAUAUCAGGAGGAACACCGGUGGCGAAGCGGGUCUCUGGCCGAUACUGACGCUGAGGAGCGAAAGCGUGGGAGCGAACAGG